UUAGAUCAAAGGGAAAGAAAGAUACGAAGAAGAGAUAAAUAAGAGAAGUCACACCCAAAUUAGACCAAAAGUUUGAUCAAGUCAUCAUCAAAAUCAAUCAUCCAUUUUGGUGGAUUAGGGUUUUCACCCCAUCAACACCUAAGAUCCAUUGAUUUUGAUGAGACUUGACAUCCAAACCAUCAUGAUCCAAGGUCAAUAAAAGUUCA
rnacentral:lncRNA from 1 species